rnacentral:rRNA from 1 species
GAUGAACGCUGGCGGCGUGCCUAAUACAUGCAAGUCGAGCGAACGGACGAGAAGCUUGCUUCUCUGAUGUUAGCGGCGGACGGGUGAGUAACACGUGGAUAACCUACCUAUAAGACUGGGAUAACUUCGGGAAACCGGAGCUAAUACCGGAUAAUAUUUUGAACCGCAUGGUUCAAAAGUGAAAGACGGUCUUGCUGUCACUUAUAGAUGGAUCCGCGCUGCAUUAGCUAGUUGGUAAGGUAACGGCUUACCAAGGCAACGAUGCAUAGCCGACCUGAGAGGGUGAUCGGCCACACUGGAGCUGAGACACGGUCCAGACUCCUACGGGAGGCAGCAGUAGGGAAUCUUCCGCAAUGGGCGAAAGCCUGACGGAGCAAGGCCGCGUGAGUGAUGAAGGUCUUCGGAUCGUAAAACUCUGUUAUUAGGGAAGAACAUAUGUGUAAGUAACUGUGCACAUCUUGACGGUACCUAAUCAGAAAGCCACGGCUAACUACGUG